rnacentral:rRNA from 1 species
AUUGAACGCUGGCGGCAGGCCUAACACAUGCAAGUCGAACGAGUGGCGGACGGGUGCGUAAUGUCUGGGAACCAGCCCGAGGGAGGGGGAUAACUACUGGAAACGGUAGCUAAUACCGCAUACCAUCGGAUGUGCCCAGAUGGGAUUAGCUAGUAGGUGGGGUAAUGGGUCACCUAGGAGACAAUCCCUAGCUGGGCUGAGGGGAUGACCAGCGACACUGGAACUGUGCCACGUUCCAGACUCCUACGGUAGGCAGCAGGGGGGAAUAUUGCACAAUGGGCGCAAUCCUGACGCAGCCAUGCCGCGUGUAUGAAGAAGUCCUUCGGGUUGUAAAGUACUUUCAUCGAGGAUGCGUUACUCGCAGAAGAAGCACCGGCUAACUCCGUGCCAGCAGCCGCGGUAAUUC